GAAGGUAUGUCUCAAGUGGUAGAGCACAUGCUUACAAUGCAGGAGGUCCUGGGUUCAAUCCCCAGUAUGUUUU
rnacentral:tRNA from 1 species